UUGCAGAAGCUCUGUGGACCUGGUCUGUUUCCUCGACUCUGCUAACUCGCCCCUGGGGACGCUGCUUCGCAGCUGGGGGUGGGGCAGGGGUAGAGUCUCCCAACUGCCCCCUGCCUGGCCCGGCUCCCCAUCCCCCACACACGUCCACAGGCCUUUUCAUUUAAAGAGUUCAUUGCUGCAGGAAACAGAUGGGAGUAACAUAAUAAACAGUGAGAAUUUCAAAGGUUCCGGAAACUUCGAGUCAUGGUCUCAGGACUGCAGUUAAAGACUUCCUUCUGAGAUGGGUUCUGAAAGCGAUUGCAGCCACUGUUUAUUUGAGCUUCUGGGAUGGCCGUGCAGGACUGAAAUAAACCUGCAACACUGGAACCCCACUUAGGAAAAGGCUACCCCUAGGAAAUGAAGUUCUGAGAGAUGCCGACUAAAUUCGUGAUCACUGAAUAGCUGGGCUUCCAAGCGGGGCUCAGUUGAACCUCAGCACUCAGUGUCCAGGGAUACUGAAGGCUUGCUGAAUACAAGGCUCAGUGCCUCACUCCAUUCUCGUCACUCUCUCUACUGCGUUGAGCACCCGCUGUGUGCCAGAUGCCCUGUUGGAGCUUCACCUGCAAUUGCUUCCCACCCUUCAGAUGUGUUCGAGUCUGGUCACGUCACACCCAUUUCACAGGUGAGAAAACAGAGGUCUGGAAAGGUGACAUCCUUUACUUUAGAGCACAGGCUGAAAAAGCG
rnacentral:lncRNA from 1 species